rnacentral:rRNA from 1 species
AGAGUUUGAUCCUGGCUCAGAUUGAACGCUGGCGGCAGGCCUAACACAUGCAAGUCGAGCGGAUGAAGAGAGCUUGCUCUCUGAUUCAGCGGCGGACGGGUGAGUAAUGCCUAGGAAUCUGCCUAGUAGUGGGGGACAACGUUUCGAAAGGAACGCUAAUACCGCAUACGUCCUACGGGAGAAAGUGGGGGAUCUUCGGACCUCACGCUAUUAGAUGAGCCUAGGUCGGAUUAGCUAGUUGGUAGGGUAACGGCCUACCAAGGCGACGAUCCGUAACUGGUCUGAGAGGAUGAUCAGUCACACUGGAACUGAGACACGGUCCAGACUCCUACGGGAGGCAGCAGUGGGGAAUAUUGGACAAUGGGCGAAAGCCUGAUCCAGCCAUGCCGCGUGUGUGAAGAAGGCCCUCGGGUCGUAAAGCACUUUAAGUUGGGAGGAAGGGGAUAACGCCUAUACCUGCGAGUUUUGACUUUUUCUAAAAAAAAAAAACCGGCU